rnacentral:lncRNA from 1 species
GCCACAAUCAUCAUUGGGGUAUCUAGUUUAAAAAAUGUGUCCGGUGAACCGGCCAACCAACCAAGAUGGCCGCCACGCCUAAAAAUAGAACAUAGGGGUAAAAUGCAGUUUUUGGCUUAUAACUCAAAAACCAAAGCAUUUAGAGCCAAUCUGACAUGGGUAAAAAAAUUUAUCGGGUCAAGAUCUAUCUGCCCUGAAAUUUUCAAAUGAAUCAGACAACCUGUUGUUGGGUUGCUGCCCCUGAAUUGGUAAUUUUAAGGAAAUUUUGCUGUUUUUGGUUAUUAUCUUGAAUAUUAUUAUAGAUAGAGAUAAACUGUAAACAGCAAUAAUGUACAGCAAAGUAAGACCUAAAAAGAAGUCAACAUGACCAAAAUGGUCAAUUGAUCCCUAAGGAGUUAUUGCCCUUUAUAUAGUCAUUUUUUUUAACAAUUUUCACAAAAUUUGUAAAAUUUUACUAACAUUUUCCACUGUAACUACUGGGUCAAGUUCAUAAUAGAUAGAGAUAAUUGUAAGCAGCAAGAAUGUUCAGUAAAGUAAGAUCUACAAACACAUCACCAUCACCAAACCACAAUUUUGUCUUGAAUCCAUCUGUGUCCUUUGUUUAGUAUUCACAUAGACCAAGGUGAGCGACACAGGCUCUUUAGAGCCUCUAGUUAUUU